GAUGAACGCUGGCGGCGUGCCUAAUACAUGCAAGUCGAGCGAACAGACGAGGAGCUUGCUCCUCUGACGUUAGCGGCGGACGGGUGAGUAACACGUGGAUAACCUACCUAUAAGACUGGGAUAACUUCGGGAAACCGGAGCUAAUACCGGAUAAUAUAUUGAACCGCAUGGUUCAAUAGUGAAAGACGGUUUUGCUGUCACUUAUAGAUGGAUCCGCGCCGCAUUAGCUAGUUGGUAAGGUAACGGCUUACCAAGGCAACGAUGCGUAGCCGACCUGAGAGGGUGAUCGGCCACACUGGAACUGAGACACGGUCCAGACUCCUACGGGAGGCAGCAGUAGGGAAUCUUCCGCAAUGGGCGAAAGCUUGACGGAGCAACGCCGCGUGAGUGAUGAAGGUCUUCGGAUCGUAAAGCUCUGUUAUUAGGGAAGAACAAAUGUGUAAGUAACUAUGCACGCCUUGACGGUACCUAAUCAGAAAGCCACGGCUAACUACGUG
rnacentral:rRNA from 1 species